CAAGGAGAGAAAAAAAUGUGUGUAGUGGCUAGCGAUCUAUCAUGUAUACACACACACACACACACACACACAUUAUAAAUGAAAGACUCCAAUGUCUAGUAUUCCAAGUUGCUUGCUUUCAGUCAAGCCUGUUUCUGUUUUCUUUUGAAUAUUCACUGUCUGAAUAUUUUUUCAAGUAUGAAAUGAAAGUUUGAAAGACAUUCUUACCAUUAUGCUCUUUUGUUUAGAAACCAUUUGAAAAAUAUAUGUGAAAUGGUUGCUUCAAGCUCACACUCUUGAUUUAUUUUCCGGUUCUCUUGGUAAUGUUAUUAUAAAAAUGUCAUAGAUUCUACACAGUAGGAAUCAUGAAAUUGUGCUGCUGCUUAAGCAAUGUUCCAAAAUAAUCAAUUUAAGUAAUACAUUUCAUUAAUGUCUUUAAAACCAAUGUGUAUGUAUGUGGAUGUUGAUUUUGCAUUGUCCUGUGCAGACACAUGUAUGGAGAGAUAUGUACACUCAUAGACACACAUUUAUACACAGAAUUAUAUAUACAAGUAUACGUAUACACACAUGCAUGAAUACAUAUACUCACAUAUAGACAUGCAAACACACACACACACAUUUAAACUUAUAUGAAUAAAGUCUAUCACUUAAACAUUUCAAAAACUAAAAGAUACUUAGCCACAUGCAUACAAAACAUAACGAAUGCAUUUGUCUUGUUCAAAUUAUUGGUGCCAUGUGUCAAAAUUCUCAGCUAUUUGAUCAAACAAAAGUCACACAGCAUCUUUGAUUUGACACUUCCUUUUCUGUAAAGUUGUGCACUAUCUAUAAAAGACCAGGAAAUUUUGAAUUUGUGAGGACUUGUCUCAUGCAUGAACCAUAUAAACUCUAACAAAGUUGUAGCACAUUUCCUGUGGGUUUCAUUGAUCCACUAUACAUUUCAGGUUGAUCACUGCUGUUUGAUUCAACCUUUGCAUUAUUCUAUUGACUUUGCCAGACAAUUAACAUAUGAAGUGAUUAAAUGAUUAUAUUUUCAUUUUCUAAAUGUUUCUUUUUUUAUGUUUACAGAUGUUGAUGAACAGGAUUCAGUUGAUAUGAAUGUUUUUUUUAUUAUAAUCUAAUGUCCUCUUUGUUGUUCUUCAUUCUGUGAGCCAGCGCUACUCAAGUAGAUUGAUGGUGAAAGACAUUCAUCCCUAUGCAAUCUUAUGUUUUAUUUUGUGAUAUUAUAUUUAAAUCUAAUGCAUCAAUUUUUUUAUAUGGUAGUGUAUCAUUAUGUAGCAAUUUGGUUACUGUUUCUAGCAAGUUGAAUGACUGUAAAGACACCUUCAGUGACAUAUCCAGAAUUUAUGUUAUACUCCAGAAUUUACAAUAUAUACUCCAGAAUUUACGUUAUACUCUAGAAUUUACAUUAUACUAGAAUUUACGUUAUACUCCAGUUUCAUUUUGAUAGUAAUGAUUUAAUGAUUAAAUUUUGGCUUUCUUUUAUUAAAUUUACAUGAACUUCAGUAUGAAAACUAGAUUUUCAAAUUUAUAUAGAUAUAUGUAAUCAUCUUAAGCAUUGGAUACCAUGGACUACAUUAUUCAAUGUGUCUUCUCUCUUUUAAGAUUGUAGGACAGGAUUAAGGUUAAAACCUCUGCAAUUUACAUGUCAACCCAACAAGUUUUCAGAUAUAUUUAGUUUUCAUUUAGUCUGAAGGAAUGAACUAUGUUUUACCUAUUUAUCUCGGAGGGAACAAGGCAGACUUUUCAUGGUUGUCUGAUCCACUAAAACUAGCUACAAAAUCUGUUGGAUGUCAAUCAAAUCCAGUCACAAGGCUUUAGUCAGCCCAAGGCUAUAGCAGAAGACAUUUGCUCAAGGUGCCAUGCAGGAAAUCCUCGGAGUUUUCCAAGAAGUCGAUCUUAAAUCCUCGGAACUUUCCAGGAAAUCCUCAGAAUUUCCCAGGAAGUAGAUCUUAUAUCCUCGGAACUUUCCAGGAAAUCCUCAGAAUUUUCCAGGAAGUUGAUCUUAUAUCCUCGGAACUUUCUAGGAAAGAUUCGCUCAUUAGUUGCUUGAUCUUAAUCCCUUGAGUAUGUCCUUUAGUGGCUGAAAAGAUGUGCAUCUCUGAUCAUGAGCAGUAGUGAAGGAGCAUCAGAGCAAUGUGUUGAGAGGGGUUUCAAUAACUGUAACAAAAACAAAGUUUGAAUGAAAUGUUAGCCAUUUUACAUACUUUCUAGUGGUAAGCAAAUAGGAAAUACCAGUUGCUACCCAAGGACAAAAAUGGUCUCACACAGUGUAAUUGCAUGCCUAUAUCCCUGUGUGCAUGUGUGUGUGUCUGUUUGUUUGUUUUAUCAAUUGAAAAUGUAAUUAAUUUUUUAUCUACAGCAAGAGCAUUACAUAAGUUUUAAUUUAUUCAAUUGAGUGUUUAUGCAUGUUGUGUUGCGACUAUGCACAUUGCGAUUGUGUGCGUAUUUGUGUUGUCGUUAUUAUUUGUCUGUUGUGUUUGUGCAUUGUAAAGGAUAUGUAUUUGUGUUGUUUGCUGUGAGUUGUAUGUUAAUAUUUGUAUAUUUAGCAUGAGUAUGCAUCCAUUAUCAACUCUCCCUAUCACUCAUGCACACACACACUCACUCACACACACAUGCAUUUAUUCAUGAUCCUGCAUAGAUGUAUUUAUGCAUGCACAUUAGCACAUUGCAAGCAUCAAUAAGUGCAAGCCCAUACAAAUAUGAAACAUGUUUGUAUGCCUAUAUGGAUACGCUUGUCUACUUUCAGAAGCUUACCUUUCAUACACAUACAUAUGCGCACAUGUGCGGCAUUCCUGCACACACAUGCAUACUGACACACAAAAUAGAGACUCAAAUGUUUCUAUGUAUGUGCUCUCAGUGCAUGUACUCAUAUUUUCAUAUGGAUGCACACACGACAAAUUCUAGUUCAAUCACAAGUUGAUGAAAUGCAAGAUGAUUAAUGUGACUUACAUUGAAAACUAAACAAAUGUACUCUGUAAGUUGCAAUAAAGCAAGGAAUGAAUUUGAACAAGAUGAGAUGAGACAAAGUAGGUAAAAUAAACUGGUGUUAAUUUUCAAAAAAUGGUGAUAUGGAAAAAUAACAGAUGGUAAAAUAAAUAUAACCUUCCGUAAUUUGCUUAUGGUCAGCCACUGCAUAGUGCUAAUCAGUCACCAUGUGGUGACUGAAAUAUGAGAGAAACAAUCACUUUUUUCAGUUCACAGCACCACUCUGCCUCGUGUCUGUGACCGAAGAGGAGAUAACUACUCCAAAAUGCUUGCAUCUCACAGUCCAGACAGGUGGCUCUGUGAACUGAUAUUGGUGUAUUAACACCAUUCUGUCUACAGCAAGAAACUUUCCCUAUGACAAAACACAGUGAAUAGCUUAUUUACGAGUCCAAAUAUGCAUAUUUGAACUGAUAAUAACAUUACAUUUUUACAUUAUACACACACACACACAAAUACAUACAUACACAGACACACACAUAUAUAUAAUAAUAAUAAAUUCAUAUAUCCUUAUAUAUAUCUUAACAGAAACUAAAGAAACAGAAACAGAUUCUGAGGCUAAAUCCCCAAAUAAUGACGCUACACACAACCGUUAACAAUUACUUAACUACUAGAAAAUAAUUCUUCAAAGAUUGAUGUGUUCAGACAAAUGUCUACUUCAUUUAGUUCCUGCAUUACAUGCUGAUCUUCAAUCACUUAAAAACUGUUUGGUUGUAAACAGUCUUUCUACUGUGUUAAACUUUAUUAAGGGUGUAGAUACAGUGAUACCUCACAGUACAAGUUUAAUUCAUUCCAUGACUGAGCUUGUGUUAUGAUUUACUCAUUUUACUAAUCAAUUUUCUCCAUUGAAAUUUAUUAAAAUAUAUUUAAUCCAUUCCAGCUUAAAAAAAAAAAAAAACACCCAAAUCAUUUUUGUGGGUUUUGAAACAGAAAAGGAGCAGUUACAAGGCAAUUAUAAGAAUAUAAUAAAAAGAAAUAUGUCAACUGGUUUUAUUAAUUUAAUUACCUUAAAGAUGGGACAAUUUUUGUGUGAGAAAGAUGAUGGAGUAGGGAGGAGGUGGAUUAUUAUCUGGAAGGAAAACCUCCUGCCAUUACGACUUCCAGAAGAACAGUUUCCAGCGUUUUCUCUCUCACUUCACAUUCAGUUAGGCUUUUUGGACACACUUUCUUCACUUUUCACACUUGCAGGUCGUUUCACUAGAAACAUAUCAAGAAAAGCCUGCUUUUUCCUGAUUUUCAAAAUGUUACAAAAAUGUACCAGAGCAGCGUCAUUAUAUGAAGUAGCUGCAUGACUUGUAGAUACUUUUUCAGGAUAAUAUUUUUCUACAAAUUCAGAAACAUACUGCCACUUUGCCAACACUGCCCUUAUGUCACUCGUAGAGAUAACCUUCUCUGCUACACUGAAUUCCUCUGGGAACAAAAUCUCUUCCACUGCAUCCAAAUGCUGCUGUUCCUGAAGCUGCAGGAGUUCAUCUGUCAUCAACUCCUUUGAAUGUUCCUCAACAAGAUCGUUAAUGUCCCCAUUGUCAACCUCUAGGCCCAUGAACUUACUGCGAGGUUCUACUGUAAUGAAUAAAGAUACCAAAAAGUAACUAGUGGUAUAUUCAGCCGCCAAAUUUUGACGUUAUAUAGAUACUAACAAUGAUUAUUGGACUUUUUGAUAUUUUACUAACUUUCCGUUCUCUUUAGAAAACAGUCUUAUUAAUUUCUAUUAAUUUUAUCCUUAUUUUUAAGAUUUUAAAAAAUUGACUGUGUUUCUGAAAUAUUGUGGUGGAAUUAUUUUUAACUUGGAUCUCUUUUAACCUGAGGAGCUUGCUUAAUAUCAACAUUAAUUUAAAGAUUCAUUUUAACAUAUAAAUAUAAACAAAUUGUGGAGGCGCAAUGGCCCAGUUGUUAGGGCAGCGGACUUGUGGUCAUAGGAUCGCGGUUUCGAUUCCCAGACCGGGCGUUGUGAGUGUUUAUUGAGUGAAAACACCUAAAGCUCCACGAGGCUCCGGCAGGGGAUGGUGGUGAACCCUGCUGUACUCUUCCACCACAACUUUCUCUCACUCUUUCUUCCUGUUUCUGUUGUGCCUGUAUUUCAAAGGGGCCAGACUUGUCACACUCUGUGUCACGCUGAAUAUCCCCGAGAACUACAUUAAGGGUACACAUGUCUGUGGAGUGCUCAGCCACUUGCACGUUAAUUUCACGAGCAGGCUGUUCCGUUGAUCGGAUCAACUGAAACCCUCGUCGUCAUAAGCGACAGAGUGCCAACAUAAACAAAUUACAGAAUAUCAUUACGACUGGCAAACUGUGAUGUUUAAACUACAUGUGGAUUGGUCAAAACUGUAUUCCGUAAAUUCGGCUUGCUGGAGCAUUCUAAGAAGUACAACAGUUGUCAAGAACUCAACUGUUAGUUAAGUACAUUUGAAAUCUGAAGAUUACUACCAAAACAUAUGAAAGUGCUAAUUGAACUUUAUGAACAUUACAAAAUAUUUUUUUACUGUUAAAAUACUAUAAUAAAAAAUGUGAAAACCAGA